UUCAUGACAACAGAAGACACAGAAAUCCUCCUCAUCAAAAACAUGACUUUGAUCUCCGUCCUCAUCUGGACUCUCCUCUGCUGCUGCUUCACAGAGUCCAGAGGCCAGGUCACAGUGACUCAGCCUGGAGCAGUGAGCUCUGCUCUGGGAGGCUCCGUCUCCAUCAGCUGUAGGACCAGUCAGGAUGUUUAUAAUUUAGUCUACGACUGUUUAGCCUGGUACCAACAGAGAGAUGGAGAAACUCCUAAACUGCUCAUUUAUGAUACUACCACUCGACAAUCAGGGAUUCCAGAUCGUUUUACAGGCAGUGGAACAAACUCUGACUUCACUCUGACCAUCAGUGGAGUCCAGACUGAAGAUGCAGCAGUUUACUACUGUCAGAGUUUUCAUGUUAUCAACAGUCAGUAUGUGUUCACACAGUGAAAAAGCGUCGUACAAAAACCUCCCUCAGUCAGACUGA